AUCUCAUGGUUUGGGCAUUUGUAAAGCUUCCUAUGAAAUCUCUCCCAUACUUCAUGAAUUGACUCCCCGUUCCUUUGUCUAAAAUUAACAAUUUCAUCUCUUAGUU
rfam:Capsicum annuum cultivar Zunla-1 chromosome 5, whole genome shotgun sequence